AACCUAACACGCUCGCUCACAGCUCAUAGUGCUUGCUUAAUUACAAAUUUUGCUGGCCAACUUUCCACCGUGAAUAUGUGUCUCAUCUCUGCCCACAUGAACUUUUACUAAAAACGCCAUGAAGUACGCAGGUAACUCUCGACCACUCAUUCUACCUUCCUUUCUUCUUCUGCUCUUAUCCGUUUCCGUAGAGAAGAACACCAUGUCCCUUGAGAUCCUGUUGUGAGACGUUCUGGACUCGGCACUGCUCCUCGACGACAGUGGCCAGCGGGUUGUGCCACCGAGCGUGCUGCACACAGGGGCUGUUGCAAGGGCGCUCGGCGAUGUGGAUGCAGUAGGCCAUGGCGGAAUAUGGUGGAGGAGCAACACACCGAUUGGCCUAUUCCCGCCUUGUGAUGAUGCUCGAUUUCUAUGGGACCUCACUUUCAUCCUCAUCUGUGUCGCCGUGCUCAUCCUCAACCACAACGAGAAUCUCUUCAUGCCGCUACAUUUUUGGAGUGUUGGGUAUGCAUGAAUGAUGUUGCGGCGGUCAACUUCAUGCGAGGGGAAAGCUCGCUCAAGAGCCACAAAGCAGGGAAGGGUUACAUGUCCUGGAGAUCCAGAAAGUGAAGUGUGUCGUGACACGAGGGCGCACGCGGGUCGGGUAGGUGGGUUUUAUUUGUUUCUAAGUGACGGUAAUUACUGUAGGUCUAUCGUCCGAUUCCUAGCGCCCGGAUCGGACGUUCGUUAGCGGUGUCCAAAAUCUUUUCAUGCCUACAAACUCCCAAUCGCCUGAUGUUCGAAAUAUUACGGAUAUUGUCUGUCCGUAUUCGAAUUUGAAGCCAUUUGGAGGGGCAUCCAUGUCCGAAUCCGUAUAUUCAGCAUCCAAAGUCAUCCAAAGUCAGAUAUAUAGGAUGUCGAUACCGUAUAUAUCUUAUCCGACACAACUGACACUGUCCGUAUAAAUUCGUAUCCGGAGGUAUCCAUUCGAUCGGUUUACACCCCUAAACCUUAGUAUGACUAGUACUAGAAGAAAACUCACCGCCCACUGCGUGCAUACAGUUUCCCUAGCAUGAUAAUUCGUCAAUUUCAGCAUGCUGAUCCAGCUUCUUUAUGCCUAUUGUAUUAAAAAAUGAAACUGAGGUAACCAUCCUAGAUCGAGCGAUGCAUAGCUUACUUGCGCUUAAUUGCUCCAACAUAUGACCUUCUGAUUGCGUGCAAGUUAACAGCUACUUCUCUCAUGUUCAUUCGUUCCCUCGGUAAUCAACGGGUGCAAGAAAGAGCAACUUGCACCAGGGACAGCAAGCAUCGAUGGACCUCAUUUUCUGCUUCCGCCAAUGGUUGAAUGAAGCACUUGCAUUCUUCUUGGAGAUGAGAAUCAAUGAUACUUAAGAUCUGAUCUGAAAAGUUCCUCUCCAUAAAGUUAACAAUGCUGAGUUCACCCUCAAACAUAAAGUCGGUUGGUCUUUUGCCUAUUAGCAUCUCCAGAAGAACUAUUCCAAAGCUGUAAACAUCCCCAGGGGUCGAUGCAUGAACACUUUGACCAUACUCUAGAGAACGCAUAUAAGAUCCACUGGUUAGGUUAAUCUAAAGUUAAAAUAUUCAUGUGCAACUGGAGAUGACAAUAUUCUUGAUUUGUACCUGGAGCUAUAUAUCCUAUAGUUCCUGACACAGCAACUGAACUAUUAUAACCAAAUCGCCCAACUGUUUCUGACUUUGAAUCAAGAACUAGGCUUGCGAUUCCGAAGUCUCCCAAGUAGAGCUCUUUUACGGUACACAAUACUAGGUUAUGCUAGUGUUCAAAAAGGAGUAUACAAAUAUCCAACGGUCAAGAUUAAUUGUAUACUACUGACACGAAUAACAGACACAAAGAAAGAAGAUGCCCACCCAGCGCACUCCGCCCUCGUCGGCGGCGACCCCAGCCCCGCCACCAGCCACACUCCUCCGCCGCAUCCACGCCACACCCAGAGCCUCCGCAGCCUCCUGGCCAUCUCCACCGCCGGCCUUUCACCCAGCACCCAGGUCCCGGGCAGAUCGGGAGGGACCCCUGAAGAUCUAGACAGCGUUCGCACCCCCCGAUCCCCUUCCGCCGGAGCCGUUCCCUGCAAAUCCAAGGCUAGUGAAGCAUCCCAAGUAAGAUCCGUUGCGCAGGUCUUGUCGGAUUUGCAGUAGGACCACGCUCCCAGCUCCGUGGUACCUACGCCCAGGUCGUCAAGGGCUUCACUAUGGCGGAUCCAGCUUCGACAUGGCGAUUUCAAAAUCUGCAGCCCGCCUUUACUGUGUUUGUUCGGAGCAGUAACUCCACCCGUUGCCACACGCCUCCUCCACCCACCUGCCACCCCGCCGCCUAUGAAGACGCGCCCGAGGUGACCGGUGCGCGGCGCAAGAAUGGCUCAUUCACUCCUCAGGAUGGCUGGGUGCCCGUUAGGCAGCCGUACUGGUGGAGGAAAGUGCACCAUUCAAGUCCACCCCGCCGGCCACCUCUACAACAUCACGGCCUCCCUCCACGACGCUCCACCUGCGACCACCCCUAACCUCAGUCUUCCCCAAGCUUGCGAGCGUUCCGUGCCAGAACCAACUGAAGCUGCUUCAUCUGCUUGGCUUCAGACCACCGCGCCAAGUCCUGCACUACCAAGCACCACAACAGGAGGAGCUCACCGGUUCAGCACCCACACCAUCAUGCAAAGUGCAUUGACAACCGGGAGCAGGAACCCCGCCAAGCUCUGCCUCCACCUCGCCAAACUCUGCCCCACCUCGUAAACAACUACCUCCACCGCCAAAGCCCGCACCCUCGAUGGCCAUGUCAAGACUCGGUGAUCCCGCGACAAGGCCGGAGCAGGUGGACUGCCUCGUCCAAGCAACCGGGACAUCGACGCCGACCUGCGGGAGUGGGAAACAGCGGUGGCGAUCACCUGGGUAGUGCACGGCCAGGAACCAAUCGACCCACGCGACGUCAAGAGAGCCAUCAGGGAGGACUUCAAGCUGCGCCACGAAGAGGUGACAGUCUCGCGCCAUUUUCCUGAGGCUUUUCUAAUCAAGUUCAAGCACAGUCAUCAUUGCACAGAAGCUCUCCAGAAGGGCAAGGCCAAAGUGUCCUUUGUGGAAGUCUUCUUCACCAAACGGAGGAGUCUCUGCAAUGCUGAGGGCGCCGUCCUCCUCUUCCAGGUCAGACUCUGCCUCAACGGGGUGCCAAUGCAUGCCUGGCAAGCUGACAUCGCGGAAUGCCUCAUCAGCAGCAAUUGCACCCUCGAAGCCAUCGACACCAACCUUGACCAGCCGGAAGAAACGAAGACCAUCAACCUGUGGGCUUGACGGCGAACCCAAGCUCCAUCCCCAAGUACGCCUGGCUCAUGUUCACCGGUCGAGCGCGCGAUGCCAGGCUGAAGUCUGUGUUAGUGUCCAAGGCACCGCUCGGGCAGUGGCAACGCGGUGUCAAGCACUGCAUCAUCAUCCACCUCGAGGAGGUCCAGGACUACACGCUCGCGUCCGUCAUUCUCGACGACAGGAUGUCGUGUGCACGCUUGCGAUCUGCCGGCUUCCUCCUUAGCAUCUUGGCUACAUCGACGGGGAGACGAAGCCACGCAGGGCGAUGGAACGUGAAGCACGGCCGUGCUCACCCCCACGCUUGGACCAAACUCGCCUUGGUCAGAGCAGUGCGGCGGGGAAGGGCGAGUGGUGAGAUGACAGAGAAAACCGCCAGCGAAGAGGCUACAACAACGACUACCACACCAGCAAGUGGAAUGUCUGGCACCGGAGGAACAAUGACGACGACGACCAUGAUCACCACGGGCACGGUGACCGCGCUCGCCGCACCCACAAUGCACACAAGGUCACGGGCGGAGAGGCUGGCCGCGAGUGGGAGCGUUCGCCCAGGUGCUGGACUUGGGGUGGUGGAAGCAGGCACAGGGGACGCCAGCACCAACACGCCAUCACCGACACUAGCAGGCCUCAGCAGCUCUCGUUGUUUGGUCCUCUGCGCGACAAGAGAGCCAUGAAGCUCCAGAAUUCUGUUCACUAACCAUGCCUCCACGUUGAAGGAGGCUGCCAGGAAUUUUCUGUGCAGGAAGGAAGGGAAGAUGAUGACAUAGCACCUAAGCUGUACACCUCCUACGACUAGAUCAACAAAGCAGCUAGCUUGGCAGACGCACUCCGUCUGCCACAUGAAGGGGAUGAAGUCUGGUCCAAGGAGCGUGGGUGCAAGGACAAAAUCAAUCCGCCGAUGAUCAAGGUGUCCCAUGUGUACAAACGCAUACUGGAGGACUUGGCAGCACCAGGCCACAACCACAAGCACGGCCGCUGCUCCUGUCUCUGUUCAGGAGGUCGAAGCUGCGUUACAGAACUUCCAGGUGCAUCUGCACGGCCUGGACCAGGAGCUCUCGCCACCAUCGCCGCUUCUGGACAGUGCCUUGUGCUCGCCACUCCACCAUACCUCCUCUGACCGUCUUCAUGAUGAACAGAUGGCGUCUACUCCCACUGACGGCACAGACGACACGGCGGGGCUUCACGGUGUCUCUGCUGCUCCCGUCUCCAUUCAGGAGGUUGAUGCUGCGUUACAAGACCUCCAGGUGCAUCUGCACUGCACGGCCUGGACCAGGAGUUCUCACCAACAUCGCCAAUUCUGGACAGCGCCCAUUGCUCACCACUCCUCCGCUCUGACCCUCUUCAUGAUGAACAGAUGGCGCCCGCUCCCACCGACAGCACAUACGGCACGGCUGGGCCACACGGUGGCGCUGAAGGAGGGGCUACUGACAUCAACAGCAGGGCCGCGACAACACGAGGACAGGACAACACCGUCGUCAGCGCGCUCUUCACCAGGCCGGAGCAAGUGCUCCAGGUUUCACCAACGGAGGUACACGACGAGGACCAGAACCAGCAGCAACAGCAGAAGGUGACCAAAAUCUGCCAUCCAUGACGCGUCUUCGACAUGUCGACGCCUAUCGAGGCUGCUCUGCAGGAAUUCUUAGCCAUGUUCUAGGGACCGUUGCCGCAAGACGUGAUUGCGGCGCUGACGGCGGCUUUCAACCUCGAUGACCCUGUUGCUGAGGAGCUCGACAAAGCAAUGGCAAGGGUGGCAGGCGAUGCAAUCGAAGACAUCCAGGGAGAAGCUGCUGUCCACCCAGGGGCAGGUGACGCCGACAACAACUCCCAGGAGGAAGCCGUCCAAGCAGCAGCUGCCCAGCUGCCUCUUCAGGCGGCGAACUGACCCAGGCGCAGCAAUCCUUCCAGUGUCCUCCAAUUAUCAUGUUAUCUGCAAUGUUCCAAGUUGUUACCUCUGCAAGAACUUGCUGCACGUUACAGUUCUCCUGUGACUUGCCUGUCUUUGAGUCUGUAACUUUAAAACCAGCACACUGCAAUGGUCGUUCAAUCAUGCUUGCAACUAUGCAUCGCCACUUCAUGUCUAAGAUCAGAUUCCCUG